rnacentral:sRNA from 1 species
GCUAUGUAUGCCCAAGCCUAAGAAGCUAUCUGGGAGGAAGUGUCCAUUGUGCAUCGCCCGAACAACAGCUGUUAAACCUCAUUUUCUGCGAGCACACCUACCUUUGUACUUUGAAGCCUUGACGGCUUGCUGGAAAUGUGGGGUUCAAGAGGGGAAGCAUUGUUUUUUGCGAGCAAAACACAGCAACACUGAGAGCCAUCCAGAGGGUGUCCUUUUUGUAGAGUCUGAACAGAGUCUCUAUGUUGAGGAUACAACCCAGACUACAUCCGACUUCACUGACGGUGAUAGGGAGUUGCUUGCCCUGUUUGAGGAUUGUAUUGGUAUCACCAAAUCUCGGUGCCUUUCAAUUCACCCACUUAUGUCUGUGGCAUCGCCUGUCCAUUGGAGAAUCAUCAGUAACCUAUUGCAGCUUCUCUUGCCUGCUGGACAAAGAGAUGUCGUAUCCACCAUGCAGGAGCACACCUUAUCUGUGGAUAGUAUAACUCCAGUGAUUCCUUCGGAUAUGUUUAGCCAGGUUGGGUUGCGCUUUGGGGAUACCAUUUUCACCUAGACAUUCUCUUAUCCAGAACUACGGUCAGCGAUUUUGGCGUCUUGGAGGCCAUGUAUGGGGAACGUGAAUUUCAGUUGGAUGUAGCAAUUGCCAAUUAUGUCUUUCCUUAUCAUUGGGUGUGUUUCCGGGAGCAAGCAAACGACCCACGGAUCUAUCUCACCUUCGGCAUUCAUCCGCAUGUCACAAGCAUGGAAUAUUCAACAGUGCGAUUGCACGAACUUCUGCGUGAGCCAGGUUGUGUAGGACUAGGAGAGGUUGGGUUGAAUUUUACCACCUAUUGCCGUUGCAACUCUAGAUGUCGCAGUUCAAAAGCCUGUAAGAGGGAAAAAAUAG